UACGGGGGGGGGCAAGCGUUGUUCGGAAUUACUGGGCGUAAAGGGCUCGUAGGCGGCCAACUAAGUCAGACGUGAAAUCCCUCGGCUUAACCGGGGAACUGCGUCUGAUACUGGAUGGCUUGAGGUUGGGAGAGGGAUGCGGAAUUCCAGGUGUAGCGGUGAAAUGCGUAGAUAUCUGGAGGAACACCGGUGGCGAAGGCGGCAUCCUGGACCAAUUCUGACGCUGAGGAGCGAAAAGCCAGGGGAGCAAAC
rnacentral:rRNA from 1 species